rnacentral:rRNA from 1 species
AGUGAACGCUGGCGGUAGGCCUAACACAUGCAAGUCGAACGGCAGCACAGUAAGAGCUUGCUCUUACGGGUGGCGAGUGGCGGACGGGUGAGGAAUACAUCGGAAUCUACUUUUUCGUGGGGGAUAACGUAGGGAAACUUACGCUAAUACCGCAUACGACCUACGGGUGAAAGCAGGGGAUCUUCGGACCUUGCGCGAUUGAAUGAGCCGAUGUCGGAUUAGCUAGUUGGCGGGGUAAAGGCCCACCAAGGCGACGAUCCGUAGCUGGUCUGAGAGGAUGAACAGCCACACUGUAACUGAGACACGGUCCAGACUCCUACGGGAGGCAGCAGUGGGGAAUAUUGGACGAUGGGCGCAAGCCUGAUCCAGCCAUACCGCGUGGGUGAAGAAGGCCUUCGGGUUGUAAAGCCCUUUUGUUGGGAAAGAAAAGCAGCAGGUUAAUACCCCGCUGUUCUGACGGUACCCAAAGAAUAAGCACCGGCUAACUUCGUG